GCCUGGCUGGCUCAAUUGGUAGAGCAUGAGACUCUCAAUCUCAGGGUUGUGAGUUCGAGCCCCACACUGGGCA
rnacentral:tRNA from 1 species